rnacentral:rRNA from 1 species
UACAGAGGUCUCAAGCGUUGUUCGGAUUCAUUGGGCGUAAAGGGUGCGUAGGCGGCGCGGUAAGUCGGGUGUGAAAUCUCGGAGCUUAACUCCGAAACUGCAUUCGAUACUGCGGUGCUUGAGGACUGGAGAGGAGACUGGAAUUCAUGGUGUAGCAGUGAAAUGCGUAGAGAUCAUGAGGAAGACCAGUGGCGAAGGCGGGUCUCUGGACAGUUCCUGACACUGAGACACGAAGGCCAGGGGAGCAAAACGGG